GACGAACGCUGGCGGCGUGCCUAAUACAUGCAAGUAGAACGCUGAAGGAGGAGCUUGCUCUUCUGGAUGAGUUGCGAACGGGUGAGUAACGCGUAGGUAACCUGCCUGGUAGCGGGGGAUAACUAUUGGAAACGAUAGCUAAUACCGCAUAAUAUUGACUAUUGCAUGAUAGUCAAUUGAAAGGUGCAAAUGCACCACUACCAGAUGGACCUGCGUUGUAUUAGCUAGUUGGUGGGGUAACGGCUCACCAAGGCGACGAUACAUAGCCGACCUGAGAGGGUGAUCGGCCACACUGGGACUGAGACACGGCCCAGACUCCUACGGGAGGCAGCAGUAGGGAAUCUUCGGCAAUGGACGGAAGUCUGACCGAGCAACGCCGCGUGAGUGAAGAAGGUUUUCGGAUCGUAAAGCUCUGCUGUAAGAGAAGAACGAGUGUGAGAGUGGAAAGUUCACACUGUGACGGUAUCUUACCAGAAAGGG
rnacentral:rRNA from 1 species